GACGAACGCUGGCGGCGUGCUUAACACAUGCAAGUCGAACGAUGAAACCUAGCUUGCUAGGUCGAUUAGUGGCGAACGGGUGAGUAACACGUGACUAACCUGCCCCUUUCUCUGGGAUAACGCUCCGAAAGGAGUGCUAAUACCGGAUACUCACAUCGAGGCACAUGCCCUGGUGUGGAAAGUUUUUCGGAAAGGGAUGGAGUCGCGGCCUAUCAGCUUGUUGGUGAGGUAACGGCUCCCCAAGGCGACGACGGGUAGCCGGCCUGAGAGGGCGACCGGCCACACUGGGACUGAGACACGGCCCAGACUCCUACGGGAGGCAGCAGUGGGGAAUAUUGCACAAUGGGCGCAAGCCUGAUGCAGCGACGCCGCGUGAGGGAUGAAGGUCUUCGGAUUGUAAACCUCUUUCAGUAGGGACGAAGCGAAAGUGACGGUACCUAAAGAAGAAGCACCGGCUAACUACGUGCCAGCCGCCGCGGUAA
rnacentral:rRNA from 1 species